CGACUGCGGCGACGGCAGCGACGAGAGCGCCGCGCACGCCUGCAAGCCGCCGCCCUUCCGUUGUCCCUCCGGACAGUGGCAGUGCCCCGGCGUGGCGCGCCGCUGCGUCAACCUCACGCAGGUCUGCGACAACAGCUUCGACUGCCCCAACGGCGCCGAUGAAGGUGCGAGUUGCGAUUUCGCGGAAUGCGAGCACCAAAGCGGGCUGUGCUCCAACGGCUGCAAACAGACGCCCAACGGGCCGCUGUGCCUGUGCCCUGCGGG